AACGCAUAUUGCACUUUCUGGUAUUCCGGAAAGUAUGCCUGUUUGAGGGUCAGUUAAAUAAAAAAUCGGUGUUGUUGCUGCCAUUCGUGGUGACGCGUCGGAAUUGGGUCGUCUUAUCUUCGGCUAAGUGACUUAAAAUUUUGUAAGAUUUUCGAACGUAUUUAAAUUUGUUUACGUACGUUUUGAGAUAUCGAAUGUGUUUUUAUUAGGUUCGGUCAUCCUCAUGACUCGCGCCUAUAAUUAUUCAUUAAAUGACCUCAAAUCAGGUAAGAAUACCCGCUGAACUUAA
rnacentral:misc_RNA from 1 species